UCCUGCCAGGUAGCCAAUUUACCUCACCUGGGUCAAGUGUGGCAAAUGUAGAUUAAUGUCUUGCCAAAGGACAUUAGUGCCGCGGCAGGACUCGAAUUAAUAGACCAUGAAGAUCUUGAAGAUAUUGACAAGGUUACAGCAACAUGUGCUAGCAACAUCUGAUACUACAUGUAGUUAGCAUCUCUUCCAGACAGGCAUGAACACUGCAGACAGUUCUCUCAUUUCCUUACUGUUAUGCACAAGAAUAUAGAGCAUCAAAUGUGAGCGAUUAUGUUGCCAUAUAUUUUGAGGCACCUUCAUCUAGCAGCAGGAUUACAAGUGGGGUGGUUUUCAUGGCUCCCGUAAGUAUUACCCAUGUUAGAUCUCAGAUUAUUAAAAAAACAUUUAACAGGAUCAACUUUCUGUAUGUGAGAAAUACUUAGACAAAAAGAUUUUUCUAAAAUGUAUAUGAGCAGGUGUUGUGGUACUGAACAAAGUUAACAGGGUGAAUUAAAAUAAGGGACUGUGAGAUAUUUCAAGGAAGUGAAAUGGAUUCUGAAAGCUGUUUAUCUGUGUUUUAAUGAAAGUUUGUAUUUACUAUACUUAUUUUGCUACUAGGUAAAGGCUUUGAUUGAUGACAAUGUCAAAGUCAAGUUCAUGCGCCAGAACAGCAAUGGUCUGUAUGAAUUUACAGAGGACUGUGAAGCCCUUCAGCCUAAAAAAAGAUGUAAUACAGAAGAUGACUCUACCAACCAGGACCCCUACCCCAGCAGGCAGAGCUUACCUUUAUAAUUUUUAAGAAGGAGAACUGGACAUGUUGGCAGAUAAAUUUCUUUGAAAUAAGAAGUAGAUCACAAUUGUGUUCCAGGACAAAAACCUGUAAAUACUUACCAUGCUAUUGGUUUCAAAUAUAUGAAUGUCUGUGUAAAUGUAAACACAUAACAAACAAGUUUGUGGAAGCCACUGUGUGGAAAUUUAAUUCUUUGCACUAAGAAUAAAUGAUGACAAAGACGCAAGUGAAGGGUAGUGAUACAUUGCUAUGAAUUAACAUAAAUGGUUUCUAUGUGAACAAUUAUUUUAAGUACUUUACUUACAGUUCAACAUUUUAUCAAAUCUUCAAAAGUAAGGUUAAAUUUCGCUUUGUAUAUUGCCUUUGUAGUUGACAAUAUAGUGUGUUAACAUGUUUGAAGCCUCCGAAACACUACUUUGAACUGAUCCUAUACAUGUAUAUGUUUCCUGAAUGUUUCAAAUUUGAUAUGAGAAAAGUGAUUUCCUUGGAAAUUACAUACUUGACAAUAUAUUCCCUGAGUAUCAGCACAGAUUUGAAAUCCUCAUGGAUUCCAUUAAGUGACUUUGCAAUGUUUGUGUACUGAACAAAAAACUCAUCGUAUUAAGUAAAGAUAAUUUGUAACAUACAUGUACCGUACUUUAUAUUAACAAGUAUUUUUACUCCCUAAACAAAUGUUUUAGGUGUUAUAUUAGUAAUUUAACAUAUCAUUAACAGUUUUAAGUUGAAUCUUUCUUAAUAUGUUACCUAAGUAAUGGACAACAUUUUAUGUUAACAUGAUUGAAGCCUCCGAAACAGGCAUUUUGUUAACCUGAAGCCUCCGAAACACACACAUAAGAAAUUUUCAACUUCCUCAUUUGAAAUGCGAUUUCUUUGGAAUUUGCAUGGUAAUUAGCCCUCACUGAAUGGUAUUUGUAGAGUAAUUUUUAUUUGCUCCCCCUCUUGGAAGAUAGGUAAAUUUGAAAAAUUAAAUGUCAAAGUCAUAUUUUAUCUUGAAUUUGACAAACGCAUUGAAUUUUUUAAAGACCAAAUAAGUUUGACCCAAAAAGCUUUAUAAGCCUUUAAGUACAUUAGAAUAGCAAAUGAAAAAUUGCAAUUGAAUUAUGUUUGGAGAACAAAUGUUGUCAUUUAAGUUGAUAGAAUUAAAAUGUUGUUUUUGUUCAAAUUUA